AUCACCUGCAGAGAGAGAGAGUAAAACAACGUUAAGUAUGUAAAUAUAUUAAUCAGAGGCGGUGCUUUAACCACUGAAUGAUACAAUAUCACGCAUGCAAAGGUCGAGUAGCAAAACCAUCAAAGUCACUCCGAUGACCUGGACCGGUCUUUAUCUUCUGGUGUCAUCAGAGGAUCUGAUCUGCAGAACAUCUCAUCAUCUCAUGAGGAUUCAUAGAAACGUAGUUACAUCUGUAACUUUUGUUGUUGUUUUGUUUUUUAUCCUUCCUGACCACCAGAGGCGAAGCUUUAAGCACUCUGGGAAGAGGACCACACCCGGUGAAUUGGGAGACGGUACCCUCACUAAAUAGUCCUUGGCACAAAUGACCUUCAGGGAAACCUCUCUCAAGGUUGCCCAAAACGUGGAGACACCUCUCGUUUCAUAGCACCUCCCUCCACACGACCAUGUUGAUAACAUUCUCAAUCUGAGGACCACCAAGACACACAAACGCAACAGACUUCUUCUUCAUCAGAGGUUUAGGGGCGACAGCGGAGCUCUAUUGGGACACGCUCUGUGUAAGAAGAAAGGCUGAGAGCUCCAGUUACACCCAAAACAUCACGACAGACACUGUGAAGGUGAACAGCACUGUUCCUCCUGAAGCUGUCCACGCUGAUGUCGUCCUCUCUGCAGCCGUCCACAGUGGUCAGCGGGAAGGAGAACUCAGAGGACCUGUUGUGACGGGGUAGAGGGAUCUCCAGCAGGCCGUCCAGUUCCCCCUGUCUGACCAACACACACACACUGAGAGGCUCCUCCCAGUGCUCCUCCCAGUAACCCCCCCUCUGAGGCUGGCUGGCAUGGUGGAACGGGUGGGACAGCAGCGGCUGCCUAUUGUUCUGGUACCUCAGGCUGUUGGGGGGUGACAGGGCCCAUGAUGCACCGCUCAGGGGGCGACUCUGACAGAUCCAUUGCCAGUCUGUCGUCUGUGGGAAACCAUAUGAACUCAGUCAAAUUACACUAUCAAUGAAUACUACAGCAGUCUGACAUCUAUCAACUAUUUUAUUAUGGAGAGAAUAGAAGAUAAUUAUCAAGUUCAAGUUCUUCUUGCCAAAUCAGAAGCAGGUCACAACAGUAUUAAAUAUGUUCAAGUCAAAAUCCUACACUUCUCUGUGUCCUGAUAAUGGGCGAGAGGAAGUUACCUGGCUCAGACUCCAGCUGUGUCUGUUGAUGGGUUGCCGUCUGCCUUGGCUGCGGACACAACCCACCCAGAAGGCCACGCCCCCUCUGCUCACAGCCAUUCACCACAGGGGCUGAGCUAACCCCAGUCACCAGCUGACCAUCACCUGCAGCACCCACAGGAGGACACGGCAGAACAGCACAGAGAGUCUACUCAGGACGUACAACUCUGGAUGACCGUCAGAUGCAGCCGCAAGACCUCGACACAC